AGGCAUCUUCUUGUUUUUAAAAGACCUAGCAAUAGGUAUGCUUAGGGAGGAGCUUGCGUCACAUUAGUUAGUUGGUGGGGUAAAGGCCUACCAAGACUAUGAUGUGUAGCCGGGCUGAGAGGUUGAACGGCCACAUUGGGACUGAGACACGGCCCAAACUCCUACGGGAGGCAGCAGUAGGGAAUUUUCGGCAAUGGAGGAAACUCUGACCGAGCAACGCCGCGUGAACGAUGAAGUAUUUCGGUACGUAAAGUUCUUUUAUUAGGGAAGAAUAAAUGAUGGAAAAAUCAUUCUGACGGUACCUAAUGAAUAAGCCCCGGCUAACUAUGUGCCAGCAGCCGCGGUAAUACAUAGGGGGCAAGCGUUAUCCGGAAUUAUUGGGCGUAAAGGGUGCGUAGGCGGUUAAAUAAGUUUAUGGUCUAAGUGCAAUGCUCAACAUUGUGAUGCUAUAAAAACUGUUUAGCUAGAGUAAGAUAGAGGCAAGUGGAAUUCCAUGUGUAGUGGUAAAAUGCGUAAAUAUAUGGAGGAACACCAGUAGCGAAGGCGGCUUGCUGGGUCUUUACUGACGCUGAGGCACGAAAGCGUGGGGAGCAAACAGGAUUAGAUACCCUGGUAGUCCACGCCGUAAACGAUGAGUACUAAACGUUGGGUAAAACCAGUGUUGAAGUUAACACAUUAAGUACUCCGCCUGAGUAGUACGUACGCAAGUAUGAAACUUAAAGGAAUUGACGGGACUCCGCACAAGCGGUGGAUCAUGUUGUUUAAUUCGAAGGUACCCGAAAAACCUCACCAGGUCUUGACAUGCUUCUGCAAAGCUGUAGAAACACAGUGGAGGUUAUCAGUUGCACAGGUGGUGCAUGGUUGUCGUCAGCUCGUGUCGUGAGAUGUUGGGUUAAGUCCCGCAACGAGCGCAACCCUUAUUGUUAGUUACCAGCACGUAAUGGUGGGGACUUUAGCAAGACUGCCAGUGAUAAAUUGGAGGAAGGUGGGGACGACGUCAAAUCAUCAUGCCCCUUAUGACCUGGGCUACAAACGUGAUACAAUGGCUGUUACAAAGGGUAGCUGAAGCGCAAGUUUUUGGCGAAUCUCAAAAAAACAGUCUCAGUUCGGAUUGAAGUCUGCAACUCGACUUCAUGAAGUUGGAAUCGCUAGUAAUCGCGAAUCAGCAUGUCGCGGUGAAUACGUUCUCGGG
rnacentral:rRNA from 1 species